ensembl:lncRNA
UGCGUGUGGAGUCCUGUCUGUGCCCCUCAACAAUAAUAUUUAACUAUUAAUCACAUUUUUGCUAAAUAAAAGGAUCCGGCUUGCAUCAGUCACAUGAUCACCAUUAACCAAUGAUCGCCCUUGACGGCAGAACGCGCUGGUUACGAGCCGGGAACGAGCUCACAAAGAGCACGCGCAUUUUUUGCGGUCCGGAGCUGUAGGAGAAACACAAAUUAACUCAGAGACACAGACUGAUGCGACAAAACCAACAUGGUUGGUAAGGACAUGAGGAGGAAACAGUAGGAGCUGUGUGAGGCUACUAAAGGCAGUGGAUCCCUCAGCAGCUGGAUUACAAAGAGCACAGUCUCAGAUCAACACAGCCCUGCCCUCCAGCACUAUCAGCAGCAGGAGCAGCAGCAACCCCUCAACAGCAACAUUGUACCCAUCAGCUUUGAGCACCCGCCCCUAUAAACGUCUCUGCACGGCCCUGCCUGGCUACACAGUUCUGCAUAAAGGACUUUGAGGAUGGAGUGGAUGGUUUGAAGUGAAGAAGCACGGUCACUGGAUUAUCACAAGUGAACGGAGUCACACUACUACUGGGAUUCGGGAGAAGAGUACUAUUUGGACUUUGCACCUUUUUUCAUGUUGGGAACUGUAAAUAAAACCGACUAUCUCCAGUCAUCUAGAGCUCCGUCUGAGUCCUCUCUUCCCGCUAACCGUGACAUAGACAGACACACAGUUGAAAACUCUGUCAUGAAUUGGCCUCCGCAGAGCCCAGAGCUCAUCUUACUGAAGCAGUUUAAAUUCUCCUGAUGGAGAGCAGAGCAAAAGACAGCCAGCAUCCAAAGAAGACCUUUGGAACGUCCUUCAAGAAAUUACAAGAACACAUGUCUAAGACAGUUCAGGUUUUGCAGAAAAAUAAAGGUGGCCAUGCCGAUUACUUAUUCAUUGUGAACUAUGUUUUUGUUUUCAUGCUGUAUUUCGAUGUAUCUUUCCAAAUUUCAAUCACUUGCUGCACAAAUUUGCCAUUUUUUCAGUUUCACAGUGAUCUUUAUGCUCCUUUUUAACAAUACAAAACCACAAAAAUAGCAAGUGCGUUAUUAUCAUUGACAGCAUGUACAUUUUAAUUUAUAUUACUACAGGGGAAAUAACAUAUUUAAUGCCUGAGCGUGUGUCUGGCAUAAUAGUAAAAGAUUAAAAAAAAUAUGCUGAAAUAGAUGUGUUUAGGUGAUAUGUGUUUAUACAUCCAUUUGUCACUUAGAACAACAUGUUGCAAUGCAUCGUAGUCUGUUUUGUAAAGGAAACACUGUAAUUAAGAAUAUAAGUCAUUCAAACGUUCUUUGAAGAUAUAAACCCGAUCGAAAUGCUGUGUUUCAUUUCUAAUCAAUAGCAAACAGCUUAUCAGUGUUCACAAGAAGCUGAAAACAACACCUGUAUUCAGUGAUAACAACAGUCAGUGUAACCGAUUCAGUUGGAUUUGGUUUAAAAAGACCAUAAGUAUACCUUUGUUUGAACUUAAUAUUUAUAAAUAUCACUGGUGUGGAAGGAUCUGAUCUUUUGCUGUCAUUUGUUUAAGCUUUAUUAGUUCUUCAUUAUAAGAGUAUGUAUCACCACUUUACCUAGCUCUAUUAGUGGAAAUGUAUGUAUAUUUAUGUAUAGUUUUG